rnacentral:rRNA from 1 species
GGAAUUGACGGGACCCGCACAAGCGGUGAUGAUGUGGUUUAAUUCGAUGCAACGCGAAAAACCUUACCCACCUUUGACAUGGCAGGAAUCCCGAAGAGAUUUGGGAGUGCUCGAAAGAGAACCUGCACACAGGUGCUGCAUGGCUGUCGUCAGCUCGUGUCGUGAGAUGUUGGGUUAAGUCCCGCAACGAGCGCAACCCUUGCCAUUAGUUGCUACGAAAGGGCACUCUAAUGGGACUGCCGGUGACAAACCGGAGGAAGGUGGGGAUGACGUCAAGUCCUCAUGGCCCUUAUAGGUGGGGCUACACACGUCAUACAAUGGCCGGUACAGAGGGUAGCCAACCCGCGAGGGGGAGCCAAUCCCACAAAGCCGGUCGUAGUCCGGAUCGCAGUCUGCAACUCGACUGCGUGAAGUCGGAAUCGCUAGUAAUCGCGGAUCAGCAUGUCGCGGUGAAUACGUUCCCGGGUCUU